UUGACUUUUGACCUCUUUUCUGGAUCUUAGCUCCAAAAGAGAACGUAAACUGUAACAACCUAAGACCUCACCCAAAAUGGCUAGCUGGAAAGUAUUAUUUAGGUUCCUUGAUCCUGUAUAAAUACCCAAGAUCUACCCAGCGAAUAACCGAUGUGGAACUAAACACACGCCCGUAUGGAUCCUCAGAUACUCCCUCGUUCAAGUCCUGACGUCCUUGUCAGGCUAAGGGUUCAAAUCUAAUCACA
rnacentral:lncRNA from 1 species